rnacentral:snoRNA from 1 species
AUGCCAUGAUGAGCGCAUUUCAGUAACAAAUCCUUGAAUCACUCCCAUGCAUCAUAAAGAAUUUCUCAGCCAGUUCUUGCCAUGUUGAUACCGAAUUAGGUGGUAAGGAAUUCAACUAUGAUCAU